AUUGAACGCUGGCGGCAUGCUUUACACAUGCAAGUCGAACGGUAACAGGUUAAGCUGACGAGUGGCGAACGGGUGAGUAAUGCAUCGGAACGUGCCCGAUCGUGGGGGAUAACGCAGCGAAAGCUGCGCUAAUACCGCAUACGAUCUGAGGAUGAAAGCGGGGGACCGUAAGGCCUCGCGCGAUCGGAGCGGCCGAUGUCAGAUUAGGUAGUUGGUGGGGUAAAGGCUCACCAAGCCAACGAUCUGUAGCUGGUCUGAGAGGACGACCAGCCACAAUGGGACUGAGACACGGCCCAGCCUCCUACGGGAGGCGGCAGUGGGGAAUUUUGGACAAUGGGCGAAAGCCUGAUCCAGCAAUGCCGCGUGCAGGAAGAAGGCCUUCGGGUUGUAAACUGCUUUUGUACGGAGCGAAAAGGUCUCCUCUAAUACAGGGGGCUCAUGACGGUACCGUAAGAAUAAGCACCGGCUAACUACGUGCCAGCAGCCGCCGUAA
rnacentral:rRNA from 1 species